rnacentral:rRNA from 1 species
AUAAUGGGUCAGCGACUUAUAUUCUGUAGCAAGGUUAACCGAAUAGGGGAGCCGAAGGGAAACCGAGUCUUAACUGGGCGUUAAGUUGCAGGGUAUAGACCCGAAACCCGGUGAUCUAGCCAUGGGCAGGUUGAAGGUUGGGUAACACUAACUGGAGGACCGAACCGACUAAUGUUGAAAAAUUAGCGGAUGACUUGUGGCUGGGGGUGAAAGGCCAAUCAAACCGGGAGAUAGCUGGUUCUCCCCGAAAGCUAUUUAGGUAGCGCCUCGUGAAUUCAUCUCCGGGGGUAGAGCACUGUUUCGGCAAGGGGGUCAUCCCGACUUACCAACCCGAUGCAAACUGCGAAUACCGGAGAAUGUUAUCACGGGAGACACACGGCGGGUGCUAACGUCCGUCGUGAAGAGGGAAACAACCCAGACCGCCAGCUAAGGUCCCAAAGUCAUGGUUAAGUGGGAAACGAUGUGGGAAGGCCCAGACAGCCAGGAUGUUGGCUUAGAAGCAGCCAUCAUUUAAAGAAAGCGUAAUAGCUCACUGGUCGAGUCGGCCUGCGCGGAAGAUGUAACGGGGCUAAACCAUGCACCGAAGCUGCGGCAGCGACGCUGAUGCGUUGUUGGGUAGGGGAGCGUUCUGUAAGCCUGUGAAGGUGUGCUGUGAGGCAUGCUGGAGGUAUCAGAAGUGCGAAUGCUGACAUAAGUAACGAUAAAGCGGGUGAAAAGCCCGCUCGCCGGAAGACCAAGGGUUCCUGUCCAACGUUAAUCGGGGCAGGGUGAGUCGACCCCUAAGGCGAGGCCGAAAGGCGUAGUCGAUGGGAAACAGGUUAAUAUUCCUGUACUUGGUGUUACUGCGAAGGGGGGACGGAGAAGGCUAUGUUGGCCGGGCGACGGUUGUCCCGGUUUAAGCGUGUAGGCUGGUUUUCCAGGCAAAUCCGGAAAACUAAGGCUGAGGCGUGAUGACGAGGCACUACGGUGCUGAAGCAACAAAUGCCCUGCUUCCAGGAAAAGCCUCUAAGCAUCAGGUAACAUCAAAUCGUACCCCAAACCGACACAGGUGGUCAGGUAGAGAAUACCAAGGCGCUUGAGAGAACUCGGGUGAAGGAACUAGGCAAAAUGGUGCCGUAACUUCGGGAGAAGGCACGCUGAUAUGUAGGUGAAGUCCCUCGCGGAUGGAGCUGAAAUCAGUCGAAGAUACCAGCUGGCUGCAACUGUUUAUUAAAAACACAGCACUGUGCAAACACGAAAGUGGACGUAUACGGUGUGACGCCUGCCCGGUGCCGGAAGGUUAAUUGAUGGGGUCAGCGCAAGCGAAGCUCUUGAUCGAAGCCCCGGUAAACGGCGGCCGUAACUAUAACGGUCCUAAGGUAGCGAAAUUCCUUGUCGGGUAAGUUCCGACCUGCACGAAUGGCGUAAUGAUGGCCAGGCUGUCUCCACCCGAGACUCAGUGAAAUUGAACUCGCUGUGAAGAUGCAGUGUACCCGCGGCAAGACGGAAAGACCCCGUGAACCUUUACUAUAGCUUGACACUGAACAUUGAGCCUUGAUGUGUAGGAUAGGUGGGAGGCUUUGAAGUGUGGACGCCAGUCUGCAUGGAGCCGACCUUGAAAUACCACCCUUUAAUGUUUGAUGUUCUAACGUUGACCCGUAAUCCGGGUUGCGGACAGUGUCUGGUGGGUAGUUUGACUGGGGCGGUCUCCUCCUAAAGAGUAACGGAGGAGCACGAAGGUUGGCUAAUCCUGGUCGGACAUCAGGAGGUUAGUGCAAUGGCAUAAGCCAGCUUGACUGCGAGCGUGACGGCGCGAGCAGGUGCGAAAGCAGGUCAUAGUGAUCCGGUGGUUCUGAAUGGAAGGGCCAUCGCUCAACGGAUAAAAGGUACUCCGGGGAUAACAGGCUGAUACCGCCCAAGAGUUCAUAUCGACGGCGGUGUUUGGCACCUCGAUGUCGGCUCAUCACAUCCUGGGGCUGAAGUAGGUCCCAAGGGUAUGGCUGUUCGCCAUUUAAAGUGGUACGCGAGCUGGGUUUAGAACGUCGUGAGACAGUUCGGUCCCUAUCUGCCGUGGGCGCUGGAGAACUGAGGGGGGCUGCUCCUAGUACGAGAGGACCGGAGUGGACGCAUCACUGGUGUUC